rnacentral:lncRNA from 1 species
GGUCUCGAACUCCUGACCUCAGGUGAUCCACCCACCUUGGCUUCCCAAAGUGCUGGGAUUAUAGGCCUGCCACCUGGAUCUAUUCUUCUCCCUGCUCCUGGCUUUUUCAAUCCAGUCACAAAGAGGCCUUUGAAAUUGAUGCCUGCCACCACACCUGGCAGAAAGGAUGUUUUUGUUUCUUCUUUUUCCUGUUCCUUUCUCUGCAAUCAUCUCUCUGAGUCUCAGACAUGUGGCACUGGUUGGCUGGCAGCACCUUCUGUGUGUCUGAGCCCUUACAUAGCUUCCAGAGGAAGGGGUGCUCCGUUGGGGUCCUGCCUGCUUUUGGAGCAUUAGAAUCUCCUUUUUUGCAAGCCUCUGUCUCCCAUCAUUUAACACCCAGCUGUGUCUCUCUGCCCACUGACCAGAAUCUUUUCGCAGUAGGUGGGUUUUAAAAAGCACUCACCAGAACUCCCAAAUGCUAGGGUCUCAUGGCCCCUCAAAAACUCAUUACCUUCUCUUUGGGAUCCUCAGACCUGGCAGGAACCUCACAUAGGAAGAAAGGCAGCCAGGGAGCAGGCAGUGAGGACAGGUUGUAAUCAGGCAGUUCUGGCUGGGCAUAAAGUCUGCUCCUGCUGAAGGCAAGCUGCUCAACACUGCACUGGACAUCCUCCAUGUGUGGAAUCUAGGCAAAGCAGCUCUGUCCUCUAUUAACAAAUAACUGAGCCUGGGCAAUCUGUUACUUCAACUGUCCUUUCAAGCCAGGCUUUGCAGUAACAGGAAUUUGAGGUCCAGCAUGCAGAGACAGACCUAAGUGUGAGCCUCUGCUACUUAUGAGCUGUGUGACCUGGGGCAAAUUACUUAACCUCUCUAUACCCUAUUCCCUUCACUUGUGCAAUAAGAAUAAAUAAUACCACACACUUCGGAGGCAUGGCGUAAGACUCAAAUGACUAAUAUAGGGAUAGUUCAGGGGCAGAUACACGGUUGGAAAGCACACUAGAAAUAUCAGUAGAAUCUGAAUUUUCCCCUACCUGCCUCCUUGUUUUCACUACAAAUAACAUUUCCUUUCCUGCUUUUAAGUCAAGAGGGGAACACACUGAUUCUUUAGCAGACAGUUUAGCACACACUUCAAGCCAGAGAGUGUACCAGCAAUGUGGAUUCAGAAAUAAAUAUGAUGGGAGCCCUGCUCUCACAGGAUGGGGUUGGGGGUGGGGGAUAAAGUCCCAAGGGAGUUGGACAGUCUCCAGAUGGGUAGUCACUGCUGGGCAGAAACACAUGAGGGAAGUGUCAGGAGCCCGAAAGAAGCUCUGAACAGGUUGGAACACGUUUUCUGGAGGAUGGGACAUUGAAACUGAAUCACCUACAAUGUUGAAGGCAGAUGGUAACCUAAGAAAGGUAAAGCCUUGUUAAUCAAAUCAAUUCUUUUCACUUUAACUGUAUUGGAAAGAUACUUUAAAAAAUCUUCAUAACAACUGAAGCUCGAUGAUGCCUUGAUUCUGCAUUAACAUCCUUGCCCAUUUCUUGAUACAUUUUCAAUUUACCUUCAUGGUAAUUUACACUCAAGGAAGCUGUCCAAGAUAUGCGGGGGAUUCAAUAAAAUAGGUCAUGGAGUUAAAUGCUGUGGUGAAACACAGGGCUUAAUUUUAUGGAUAAAAUUUAAACUGCUUAGCUGCCUUUUUUGCAUUAUUCAUGUUAAGACUAAUGAUUACUCACUAAAUGGGAAGGAAUCACUGUAGAAAUCAGGAAGCCAUUUUCUUAAUUCUUUAAGCACAUCUGAUGGAGCUGUGGACUCUGCCCUUGAGGUUAACAGCAUUGUAUUAGGGAAGAGACCUGCUUGGCCCACCAGUCAACCUCCCUUGCCUGGGCUGCUCCUGAAACUGCUACAGGAACAGGAAACUUGAAACAAGAUUUUUUCCUAAAAUUGACAUUGGGUAGAAUGAACAGGAUAGAAGACAAUAUAUUAAUGUCAGUUCCUUCUGGUAUUUUUCAAAGUGAAGUCUGCAUUGAUGUCAUUGACAAAAAUGCAAAUUCCAGAUUGUAACCAAAUCUGCUUACUGGCAGUGAGGUUUAGGCACUUUAAUUAUUCACAAGCAUCCCAGGCAAUUCUUAUGUGCUAGUGGAGAACCACAGAUUGGCAUUGGCUAUAGAGAGACCACUUCCUUUCAGUCAUCCAAGGUUAUUUUAUUAACUUAGCACUGGGCUCCAACGUAAACAAGGGCUACUUUUCUAUAAUGAUCAAAUUACUAAUUUUAUAAGUAUAGAAUAAAAGGAUAUGGGUUUCUUAGAUUGUAAAUGUUUGAUGUAGUUAAUGCAAUUUCAUUUUUGAGGUUUGUUUCUAAUAAUACUCUUAAUUUACAUGUCUAAUGGAUUCCUUGUACACAAUUCUGAUCAUGUAAAUUUAAGAUGAUCUUUUCCACUUUGCAAUACAAGACAUUUAAAAUAACCUAAAGUUGCCCAUUCUCACUAAGCACCUGAAAAUUAGUCCCUGUGGGGAAACUUUUUUCAAGUUUUAUUUUUCUUUUUAUUUCAAGUGUUGUUUAUAUUGUUUCUCUAACUGUUCUACCUAAUGAUUGAUAGGCACCUACCUUCCCCAAAGAAAAAGGGUUAAGUGAUCAAAUAUGUUUGGGAAACACGAGGGCAAACAAAGUGAAACAGACUUUUACUGCAGAUUGCGGAUCCUUUGAGAGCCCUUAAUGUGCACAGUAAUUCUCCAAGAAGGGGACAGAAGUCCCUGGGCUUCCCAUGCUUGUUUAGUUUUUAUGGAUCCCUCUGCUGGAUGAGUGUUCACAGGACCACACUUUGUGAAAUACUCAGUCAGCUCUAUCAGCAAAUUAUAUCACGGGAAUUGGUUACUUUCAUUUGGAUGCUUUGCCCAUGUUACCCAGACUUAGGAAAAUAUUUUACAAUUUGGGGUGUAUAUGAGAUAUUUGGGGGCAUUUUCUCCAAUAUCAACUUCCUGCUUCUGAAAUUCAGGUUAAAACACUGACCUAAAUUACGGAAAUCACAAUCUCCUUCACCAUCACCAACAGUGCCACCAUCAUCAAAUCAUGAUCAGCAUCGACCAACACGAUGAUUCCCACUACCACUAUCACAUUAAUAGCACCACUACCAUCCUACCGUGCCCAGCGAGACAACUGCCAUCACGGUCACUAUGACCAACACCAUAUUACCACCGCUGCCACUAAUAUGCCUCAUUGCUAUGCCAAUAAUCACUAACAGCAUUACCACCACACUCCAACUAACCAAUGCUGCUGCCAUCAUUACUGCCAUGAUCUGUACUACCACCACUGCCACUAGUGCAAACAUCACCACUACUGCUGUUAAAGCAGCCACCACCACUGCACCCACUGUCGCCACUGUCCUUUCCACAUCCAGAUGAAGAAAGAAGAAGAGAUAGAAAGCAUAGUUUCAUUAUUCUAGGUCAUAUUCAAAGGUUGGUCACUAGAUAUAAUUGCACAUAUGUUCCCCUAGUUACUAUGGCAUCCCAAUAGCCAUCAAGUGGAACCAGACAUGGUAUCAUAGCAGAAUCCUGAGGUCUAAGGUCUAGUUUAAAUAAGACUUCUGAUCCAAGGUAGGGGUCCCUCAAUUACCUCUAUGACAGGAGGCAAAGAUGUCACACACGACUGCAUGUCAGCUAAACUCAUUGGAAGAUUCAUUUCUGCCUUCAUAAAUGUAGACACUGGGCUUCAGCUAGUUGUAAGGGAGCAGCCCCUGGUGCAAGCCACGUAGCAACUAGAGGGGCUUUAAAAUCAGCACAAAAUUAAGUUUUAUUGCUGCUUUGAGGAAUGUUCAGGUUGGUGGGAGGGGAUUACAGCAGACAAGUGUUUAAUUUACUCAACUAUAUGCUCAAGUUUAUGUAACUGAGCUAUUUUAAAAUUACAUUUUAUGUAUGCAUUGCUGUAUAUAUUGCACAUAUAUAAAUGUACAAUAAUAAUAAAGAGUGGCAUAUAUGAGUCUCAGGAAUUGUGCCAAAGGCUUUACAUAUACUCUCUUUAAUCCUUUUAACUCCUGUAUGAAAGGAGUGUGACUGUCAUUCUCAUUUUCCUAAUGAACAAACUGUGGCAUGAAGAGGUUAAAUAAUUAGCCUAAGCUUACAAAGCUAAUUAAUUGUAAGACUAAGAUCUAAACCCAGGUAGUCUGGUUCCAGGGCCCAUGAUCUUAACCAACACUCUACAUUUUAACACACUGUCUGCACAUUGUCUACACACAGAUGCAGUGUGUGUACAUCAGUUGUAUAAAUAUAUCAUCUUGCAUGAAGUAAUUUAAGGGAUGUUCAAGGAUAUUGUUGAUUAUAUGCAAUUUAUCUCAUGUGCUGAUUUUUAAGCCUAGUCCCAGAGGAAAUGCAAGUUCACUGAAAUCUAAGGGGGGAAAAAAGACACGAAAAACCAACAAGUGCAAAGCAGUGUGGUGCAGAAUGUGGUGGCAGAGCAACAACCACUCUCAGCAAAAUCCUCAUUAAUUCAUGCCAGUGUGUUCAAGUUCUUAGUGCGUCUCAAGAAAAAAUAUCUCAGGUUCGAAUUGCUGCAAAGUUUUUCAAGCACAUCCACCGAUAGCAAGACCCACUGGAGGCAGAUCAGCGAUGAGUCUGAGGGCGGCACAAAGGGUGCUACCAGGUGAUCACCAGUCCUUCCUCCUCAUCCUUAUUCAUUCCUUAGACAUCUUGAUAUUAGAAAUUAUUGGUUUGUGAAUGCACCUAUUGUUAACUCUUUCAAUAUACAAAUACAUGCAAACAUAUGUAUAUUCUACAUAUAUGGACAGGCACAGAUUUUUUUUUAUGUUGGGCUCCCUCAAACAGAAUUAAUCUGUGAGGGUAUAAACCCACUUCACAAUGUCCACAGUGGGGCCAAAACCGCUUUUGAGGUGAUCAACUCUAUGCUGGGAGCAGGGGAGUUCUGGGCUGAACUCAAAGAUGCUUUUCAGCUCUAAAGUACCAUCAUCAUCUUCAUCCUCAUCUUCCUUUUCUCUUAAGUGCCCAGAAUGUGCCAGGCUCUGUGCUGUUUACAGGGUUUAUAUUCUCACAAAAAUCUCAAAAGCCAAUUGCCAGAAUUUCUCUAAAGUUUCUUAAUUGGUUUGGCACAAGCUGGAAAUGGUAGUGCUUGGAUUUGAAAGCAGGCCCAUUUGCCUGGCUUUGAAGUUUUUUUUUUAUGUUUUUGGUGCUUGUUUUUACCAUACUACGCAUCUCUUAAAUUCUUUGUCCCUAAAAUGGGGGAGGGGGCAAUAAUGCCAACCUCAUGGGAUUGUUUUGGCAAUUAAAUAACAAUGUAAAAUUCUUUUUGUAAAAUUUAAAGAGCCAUGCACAUAUAACAUUACUAUUAUUUUGGCUUCAUGUGAUUUUUUUUUUUUUCUGUAACAAAUUUACUUAAAUAUCUAGAUAAUGACUUCAAGAAAAUUGUCUUCCUUUGUAAUUCUACAUAUUUUAUUUUUAAAUAAUUUUAGACUUAUGAGUGUUUUAAAGAUAGUACAAAGAGUUCCCAUAUAUCCUUUAUUCAGCUUCUACUAAUGUUAAUAACUUAAAUAACCAUGGUACAGUGAUCUGAACCAGGAAACUAACAUUAAUUCAACACUGAUCUAGAGACAUCAUUUCUAUUUCCCUAUUGUUCCACAGUUCAAUCGAGGAUCUCACAUUGCACAUAGUUGUCCUGUAUCUACAGUCUCUGCUAAUCAAGGACAGCUCCUCAGUCUUCAGCACCUGGGCUUUUACAAAGAGCACUGGUCAGUUAUUUUGUAGAACAUCCCUCAGUUUGGUUGGUGUUUUCUCAUGAUUAGAUUAAGCUUAUUCACCUUAGGCAAGAAUACCUCAGAACUGAUGCUGUGCUCUUCUCAAUACAUCCUACAUCAGAGGGUACAUGAUGUUGAUUUGUCUUCAUUUUGGUCAUAUUAACUUUGAUACUUGGUUGAGUGGUAUAUUCUAGAUUUCUCCACAUAAGUUAGUAUUUCCCCCUGCGUAUCUGUAAAUAAUAUGUGUCCUGUAAGAAAACACUUUGAGAUUAUGUAAAUAUCCUGAUUCCCAUCAUAUUUCACCUACUAAUUUUAGCAUCAUUGAUGAUUCUGCUCUGUAACAAUUAUUACUGUUAAAUUAGUUUGUAAAAUAGUUAUUUUCUAUUUCUGACAUUCUUUCUACAAUAUUAAUUAGUAUUCUACCGUAAGGAAGGAUUGACCUUUCUCCUGCAUUUCUGUAUUCAUCUAAUCAUUUAUUUUUGUCAAUAUGGAUUCAUGGGUACUUAUUUUAUUCUGUGGGGUGUAAUCCCUUCUCAUUAUGUAUUUUGUUCCUCAAAUUAUCCCAGAUUUGCCCAAUGAAAGCUCCUUUAAGUUG